rnacentral:lncRNA from 1 species
AGGGUUUAUCUAUAUUAUUAGUGCUAAGAAUGGAUUUAUAGAAAUUAAAGGCACAAGGAAUGUUAACCGGGUCUAGCCCAAUAAAAAAGAGCAUUUACUUGCAUGCAGACCAGUGAUCUCAUCUCAAGUAUAAAUCCUCAUAACACUUUGGUCCGUUGUGUGCAAGUGAGAAAUUCUCAAUCCCUUAUAGUUUAGAUUAUUACUUGUAUUAAAAAAAAAAAAUCAAAUAAAAAAAUGAAAU